ACGAACGCUGGCGGCGUGCCUAAUACAUGCACGUAGCACGCUGAAGGAGGAGCUUGCUCUUCUGGAUGAGUUGCGAACGGGUGAGUAACGCGUAGGUAACCUGCCUGGUAGCGGGGGAUAACUAUUGGAAACGAUAGCUAAUACCGCAUAACAGUAGAUGUUGCAUGACAUUUACUUAAAAGGUGCAAUUGCAUCACUACCAGAUGGACCUGCGUUGUAUUAGCUAGUUGGUGGGGUAACGGCUCACCAAGGCGACGAUACAUAGCCGACCUGAGAGGGUGAUCGGCCACACUGGGACUGAGACACGGCCCAGACUCCUACGGGAGGCAGCAGUAGGGAAUCUUCGGCAAUGGACGGAAGUCUGACCGAGCAACGCCGCGUGAGUGAAGAAGGGUUUCGGAUCGUAAAGCUCUGUUGUAAGAGAAGAACGAGUGUGAGAGUGGAAAGUUCACACUGUGACGGUAUCUUACCAGAAAGGGACGGCUAACUACGUG
rnacentral:rRNA from 1 species